rnacentral:rRNA from 1 species
UACGAAGGGGGCUAGCGUUGUUCGGAAUUACUGGGCGCAAAGCGCGCGCAGGCGGUUCUCCAAGUCAGUGGUGAAAGCCCGGAGCUCAACUCCGGAAUUGCCAUUGAAACUGUUGAACUUGAGGACGAGAGAGGUGAGUGGAAUUCCCAGUGUAGAGGUGAAAUUCGUAGAUAUUGGGAAGAACACCGGUGGCGAAGGCGGCUCACUGGCUCGUUUCUGACGCUCAGGCGCGACAGCGUGGGGAUCAAACAGG